AGAAUAAACUUGCCUUUAUAAUAUAAUCUCUUUCAUGUAUAUAUAUUGCUUUAUGAAUCUUCACUUAUAACUGAAUAUCCUUGUAACGUAACCUACCUGAUGAUAUUUGAAGGCCUUUGAAAUAUAGUCGAAAGCUUGAAUAUGUUUAAAUUUGCUCGCCGAGACUUACCUUAAAAAUUUCCACAUUCUCUACACAGCACCAUCAUUUCACUGACUUUAAACUUUCAUCCUUUUGCGAGAAGAUAAAAACAGCCUGAUUAACGCAUGCCUGAAGUC